AUAUUUUAAGUUGCGCAGUGUACAGUAGAACGUACGAAUGCCUUCCCCCUGAAGUUGCUGCAGAAAAAUGAUAAUUUAUUGUCAAACUUGAGUUUCUAUAUCCCAUGCCUAAAAAAUUGACGUGUGUUUUGAUGUCAUCGUUGGUCAUCGUUGUAAACAUUAAACAGUUUAAUGUUUACCAUUACAUUAAAGUUAAAAAUACAUUAAAAUUUUUAAAAAAUGGUAAUGAAUGGUGAAAAAAAGUUAGUGAUUAAAGUGAGGUGACAAAUAUUUUUAUAUUGCAUCAGUAUAAAAGUUUCAUGAAGCGGCCGAAUUAAUUGAUCAUAGGAAAAUUGUAUAAAGAAAACAAUGUAGGGACAAUUUUCAUCAUUGCAUCAACAAUUUUCCAAAAAUGAAGCACUACCUAUUCGUGGCACGCGAGGUUGUCAAAUGCGAAAAAUGCGUUGUCCUUGGUUUUCAAUCCUGGGCGAAGCACGUACCCUAGAACAAUUGGAACGAAAUGAUGGCGAAUUGUCUCUUCUGCAAAAGGAGAAUGCCAUCAUUGAUGGGAGAAACAUUUCCCCGCACCAAAACGGAACCGAAUGUGUUAUAUAACUGGUGAUUUGCACCAGACUCAGAGUGUAGCUGAAAUUGAGUUGAUCUGGCGGUGGUUCGAGCACUUCAUUGAAGAACGGAAUUUCAGAGAAGAAUCGAAAUGGAAUUGGAAUUUAAAUUAACAUGCCGCAAAAGUGAAAAGAACAAUAAAUUCGCCAUUAGUGACUCUGACGUAGGACUCUCAAGACGAGUCACUUUUGAAAUUUGCAAGAUUUUUUAAUAAAAAAUAAAUUUUUGGGACCAAGAAAAUGAUUUUUAAAUGUCAUUUUUAUCAAUUUUUCGCAUAUAAAUCUAAGUGCCCCUGGAGACGAAAGUUCAAAUGAGUUCUUUGGCUUGCUGAUUAUUUGCCUGCUCGAUUUUAUCUCUCAAGACGAAUCACUUUUGAUAUUUGCAAGAGUUUUUAAUGAAAAAUAAAUUUGUGGGAC